CUAUCUCUUUCAAGGUGGUUGAGAUAUAUAGAAUUUUUCUGCACUGCUCUCUCUGUUAAAGAAAAAAAAAAAAGAAUUUUCUCAAAACUUUUCCUUCACCAAAUUACAGAAGUCCACGAUACGUUGAUUCUCAUCUUGAAGAUGGGAAAGAUUUCGUGGUGGAGAAAUCAACGACUUCGGAGAGAUUCUACAAGUUUUUUUUCCAGUUUUCUUCCUUAUAAGCAUGCUUAAGCUUUAGUUUUAGUUUUGCUUUUGUUUGAAUUGGUUGGUUUUAUAAAUUGAAUUCCAUUUGUAUAGCUACACAUGGCUUUGGGAACUCCAUUUAUUCAGCUUCCUCAAUUGCUUCCAUUACAACCCUUUGAGCUUCUUGAACCUUCACACCCACUUUUCACUUCAGGUGUCAAAUGGAAAUGUCAAUUCAUUAAAUUGACCAAAGUUACCAAACAUUUGAUAGAGGAAGUAUGAAGCAAAGAGCAAAAACUUAGAUGUAGGGGAAUGCAUAACACUCCUCAACAAGUGGAAAUCAAUUUUAAUUGAGGAGGAACAACAAUACAAAGACUUGAACACAGAACUUCCCUAGACCACCUACUCCAAGAGUCUCAAUGGCUUUUGCGAACAAUAUGUCAUCAGUCGUAGACAAGGAACAGAUAUUUGGUAUGACAGAAAAGGAGAUGGAAGAUCGAGUUGAAUUGUUCAACAAAUCGAUCGAGGAACUCAAACCUCUUAACCUCUUUGUUGAAGGUGUAUGUCGAAACCAAUCCAACUCUGUUCGGGUUGACAUGAGUGUGGACUGUCUUCAAAGAGUUAAAGCAUUUUCCCUUGCAUUCCAAAUUAAAGUUAUUUCAUACACACAAUGAUUGAAACUCUUGGAUUGAUCAGUUGGCUGGCCUAUUAUCGUGAAUUGACGUUUCAUGAUGUGAGAGUACUAAUAAGAGAUGUAUUUGGAGUUUUGAUAGGAUAUUUGAGAAAGGUGUAAAUGGUAAUUAAAUAAGGAUGACUUAGAAUAAAUAGAGUUAGAGAUCUUAUAGCGAAGGGAACUACUUUGGAGAUUGAUUAGGUGUGGUACUUUGAAUGAGAGACGGCUCUCCUCAAAGGUAACCAAUAUAGUCGGCCAGCUACUCGGGUCUGGUAGAACUCCAAUGUGAGUUGAUUCGUGAUCUGAAUAAUUAUGGGAGGUUAGGUUGAAUCGAUCUUUCUUUACUAUGACUCUCAUGGGACCAAUAGCUUUUAGGAACCCUUCUUCACCUACAAUGACUUUCAUCCAUCAUAUUCCACCAAAAAGCUUCAAGUGGUGGCGUGGCAAUAGUUUUAUCAAAUGAUGACCCACUCCAAUGAUUUGAGGCGUUGACACCAAGGAGAUAAAAUUGAAGAUGGAGCUAGAAUAGAUGAAUGUAUAGAGUAAUCAAAAUAAAACUAACCCUAUCAAAUGGAAGAGAAAAGGACGAAAAUGCCUUCAAGGAUUAGACGUCGUGCAACGCUAUGCCGCCACCGAAGGAAGAAGGCAACAAAAGAAGACGAUGUUGCUACACACUAUCCUAUCAUUGUGACGCCAUUAUCAUGUGAAAGGGCCACACAACGUUGCAUGGUUUCACGUUACCAUGCGGAUCAAAUGUCAUAUCUACAUUACUUUUCUCCUUCUCUCUCCUUUCCUCUAUUUUUGGUUAAUUGCUCUCGAAUGCUUUGGAAUAUUGUAUCAUCAACUUUCAACCUCAAUUGUUGCUAAGGUUACAAGUUUGCUAAGCUUAAGAAUAGGAAGAAAUCCAUUGCUUUUUUUCUUAUUGUCAGGAUAUUUGGUUCCCUAAUUCAAAUUUCAUAUUGAAUGUUCAUGGUUA